CUUUUCUAGGGAGGGAGGGAGCUCCAUGUGGCUGAGCUUAUUGAGAUAAGCUACUAGGCCAUGGAAAGCCUGAAACCUCUGACCAGCUGGCAAUGUCUUCCAAUACAUGUUACCAAGAUUCUGUUUGAGACACUCUUGGCCAUACCCCAGGAAUAAUUAAAGAUCAGUGGCAGUUCAAGCUGGCGGAUCUUGGUAGCCCUGCUCUUCAUUUAACUGGCAGUGGAGAAAAGCACAGCAAACAUGGAAGACAGGGAAGGCAGCAGAGCAAUGGUGCAGGUCGGUUGGUCUGAAGAAAAGUGAAAACAGCAUGUGCUACAGCCUUCCCUGCCUUAUGAGUGGAAUCAGUUUCCGGAGAACCCCAAAAAGGGUGUCACUGGUGUUGGGGAAUAAAGAUUGAGUGCUUUUAAUUUGAAAUCAGAAAUCCGCAGCUGUUUACAGUUCAAGUUACGACACGGAUUGUGGCCUCGUGCAUCUCUGCACAUGGAAAAAGUGAAUGCAGACUGGAAUGGUGAUUUCAUCAGGAAACGGUACACAGCCCUCCACUAUUCAUCAUGCUGCAGCCACCGUGAUAAGGUGGGACACCGCGUUGAGGGCUCACAUUCAAAUGGUGAAGACAGAUAACAAACAGCAGCAUAAAAGUUACCAAAGGAAUUACAAAUCGAGGUGGUGGAGACCGGAUUCGAUUCUACAGCCCCGACUGCAGCCUUCUUUCUUGAAAAUGCUGACAGUCAUUUCCAGUCAAGUCAGAGGAAAGAGAAGAGCACACCGGAAGCCCCUGGUGAGAAAAACAUUGAAU
rnacentral:lncRNA from 1 species